CCGUUCAAUUUCAGGAUCAAGAGGAAGGAGCUUGUUUGCUUUUCUACUCCUCUGCAUUUAAGAGAAUAGCCUGCGUUAGCACAAACAAGGUAAACUGAAAAUUAACACUUGAGCAAAUAACUAAUAAAAGCUUAUAUCAGCAAAGUAGCUAAUUUUUAAGAACCCGGCAACAGCGCCAAAAACUUGUUGCUCCCAAAUGCACACGCAAGUAUACAUCGUCAUACAAGUAAUAAAAUGAUAAGUCGAGUGUCGAUUCCACAUAGACUUAUAUCAACUACUCACCGUCCCACCUCCUUUUCCUACCCCCGGAAGGGUAUAAAGGAGUUUUUUCCAACUUAAAUUGACCAAUCAAAAUAGGAUUAUUUUAUUUAAAAUAUAGAGUCGACACUUGAAAAAAUUUAUGGUGUCUCAAGUUACCGGUUUAAAUUCUGAAUCGAGGAAAGAUUGACUUUAUUUUACAGUUCGUGAAAACAGAAAUCUGGGUAAGAAAUUUUGCUAACUCAAGAGAGAAGGUAUUAGGCAUUCCCGGGUUUUGUCGUUUUAGCAUGGUCGCUCAGUUGUUAUUACUGGCUCCAUUAUUUGAUUUUAAAAUGAUUUUAAACCUAUGUGCAUUUUUAAAUUUUUAGCCGCUUUUAAUAUUUCGGAAAAAUUUAAAGUUAUUUAAAACUAUCAUAAGCCACGCUACAUGAAAUGCACUCGCGGUUCACGACAUAUCCUAUUUAACCUUGUUGGAAAUUAGAAUCGGGUCACAUGAAAUGCAUGUCCGGAUUGUUAACAACUGUAAUAAUUAUAUAACAUAUGCGCCUAAAGCAACUAUGAAGUUCGUUUUUAAUAUCUACAUUAAAACAUGUGUGAAGGUCGUAGACUAGGUGAUUGUAUGACAUACCUCAAUUUUAUUAAAGGAGGUAGCAUUUAACUAAGUGAACUCCAAAUAUUCAUACUUAACUAAUUAGAUAUCACAGCUACAAGAAAGUAAAAUUGAUAUCAGCUCUGCAUUAGAUCACAAAGUCAGUGAUUCUCCUUAGUCUUGUGACUAUGUCCUAUUACAAAGCUAACCACGAUCUACAACUAGCGAGUUCCAAUUUACAGUAGUUCUAAUUCCAGCCUCACGUAUAACUCAUUCCAACAUGGGUUAACCUCAUUGAUUUUAAUCUUGCGAGUUGGCAGACUUCCACAUUUGGCACAACUACGCAUGACCUCAACGAAAAUUAAUUUGGAGAUGAUAAUUGUUUCCUUGCACACAGAUCUUUUUGCUAUUUUAUAUGUCGACUUUAACAAAAACCAUUAUUAGGUUAUAUGAACAAACAUGGUAUCCUAACUUAAAAAACCUACUAACACAAGUACCCAACAAAUUAAUCCAUAAUAAAGAUGAAUAAGAUUAAGAUCACUUAAAGAGCAAAAUAAGAAUUCUAUUACAUGUGUUACUAAACAUUCUUACACUACCCAGAAGACGUUCAAUUUUCAAAGAAGCAGACUAACGAACCAAGUCUCUAGCAGACUUCAGAAACGAGAGAAACGAUUUACACAUUUACACAAGAUCUACUUUGGUGGCUAGCUAUAGAAAUCUGAUCAAUCCCUUUUAACAAUUCAACAUUAAUGAUCCAAUAACACCAAAAAUUGAUAAAUGAAAUAAAAUCACACAUGAAAGCAUGCUAACAAACAAAUGGAGAUCCAUCAACAACAUUCAUCAAGCUAUUGUAUUAAGAUGGGAUAAGAACAAAAGAACCUUUUAUUGAUGCAUCUGAGCUUCGAUUCCUUGAUAAAAUUUGAAGUUAAAACACCAACAAAACUGCGUCCAAGACUUCAACAGAAGCUUGACCAAUCCUCCUUGAAUUCGACCACGACGAACACCUCGACUCGAUUCUUUGACUUUGGACUGGAAUGCUCGACUUCAAACAAAAUCAAGCAGCUUGCCUCCAUGAAUUCCGAUUGAGGAUGAACUGAAGCUUUGUGUAACAAGUAGUUCUGAAACUCAAGAAUCGAUUUGUAACUGACUGGAUAUGGGGGUUAAUUUUUGUUGGUUUCCAUCGAAACUCGUCGGCAAUGGAGGUGAGACUGAAACAAAAGAGAAAGGGAUUUGGAAGGGUGAUAUCGUCUCCUUAUUUUCGUUCCCCUCGUUCUCUAUUACGCUUCGGCUGUUGGAAUGGAUAUGGGUCGCUGGGUAUGGGGAAUCCGCUGGGUUCUAGUUUUUGUGAGAGGCGGGGUGUGUGAGGAAGAUAAAGUUUCAGGGGUUGGGGUUCUUGUGUUCUCAGCGGUGCUUCUGAUGCCUAAGGGUCUUAGAGUCUAUUUUAGGUCCAAU
rnacentral:lncRNA from 1 species